rnacentral:rRNA from 1 species
AGUUGAUCCUGCUCAGGACGACCGCUGUCGGCGUGCUUAAUCAUGCAAGUCGAGCGGACAGAAGGGAGCUUGCUCCCGGAUGUUACGGCGGACGGGUGAGUAACACGUGGGUAACCUGCCUGUAAGACUGGGAUAACUCCGGGAAACCGGAGCUAAUACCGGAUAGUUCCUUGAACCGCAUGGUUCAAGGAUGAAAGACGGUUUCGGCUGUCACUUACAGAUGGACCCGCGGCGCAUUAGCUAGUUGGUGAGGUAACGGCUCACCAAGGCGACGAUGCGUAGCCGACCUGAGAGGGUGAUCGGCCACACUGGGACUGAGACACGGCCCAGACUCCUACGGGAGGCAGCAGUAGGGAAUCUUCCGCAAUGGACGAAAGUCUGACGGAGCAACGCCGCGUGAGUGAUGAAGGUUUUCGGAUCGUAAAGCUCUGUUGUUAGGGAAGAACAAGUGCAAGAGUAACUGCUUGCACCUUACGGUACCUAACCAGAAA